GCGGCUGUGGAGGAGCCUGGAGUCCUCACCGCCCUGUCAAGGCGGAGAUCGCGGGAUCGAAGCCCGUCAGCCGCGCGA
rnacentral:tRNA from 1 species